UUUGUUUGUAUUUGGUUUUUGAUAUUCUCAACUGAGCCACGUUUUACACUUUGCAUAAAUUGAGCUCAGCUUUGGAGCUACUCCCCCUCUCGCUCUCGCUCUCAAUCUCAUUCUCGUUCUCGCUGGCUGUGCCGUAUCCUGUGCAUAAUCGUGUCCUUGUACAACAAAAGCAAUUGCUACUGUUUGCCGCAUCGGCUGCUUAGUCGUGGUCAUCAUGUGGCAUAUAUCAUGUCGUCGAGGCGCAGCAAAGCGCGGCGCGGCAAGCCCAGACACUGCCACGCCCCCGCCUUCUAUACUGAUGUGUGGUUGCGCCUGCGCGCAUUCGAUUCGCUGCCAAGUCUCGAGCCGCCUGCCUGAAAUUUACAUAAAAUUAUGCAAAAUCAUGCAAUGCGCUUAGUGUCUGUCCUCAAAUCCAACCCCGCUCUUGUCUGUGCCUUGUUUGUGCCUGAGUGCGCCCGUUUUAUGAAUGGAAUCGCCGGCGGUUGCAUCAACUGUUGCUGCUGCUGCUGCAGGAGAUGAGGACGAUGAGGCAGCCAGCAGGCCAGCCAGUGAGCCGUGCCUGCAACUUGUUGCCGCUGUUGUACAUUAAUGAAAUUUGUUAGUAUCACGACUUUUAUGCCUGUUGCCUGCCAAGUUUGCUUUUGUUUGCCAGUUGAUUGUUUUUCUUUCAUUUUUUUUCCUACCCUCUCCGUAUCUUUUCGAUUUUCGAUUUGUGCAUUAAAUUAAAAUAUUUAUAAUAUGAAUACUUUGCAUAGAUUUGCUGCGGCAACUGCCAGACAAUAGCCAGAUAUAUAGGUUGCUCUGCAGAUCUUGUUAAUACGUAUUUUACUUAGUAUAUAAAAUAUCAAAUGGAUUUGGAUGUCAUCUCGUUUUUGGGAGUUUUGCUUUUGAAAUGACAUAAAAUUAUUAAGUUAUGACGCCUUGAGGCCAAUUUAUGUACACAAACGUGAAUAUUUAAUGGGAGGUGUGUUCCUUUUGGAAAGCUGUCGAUAAGAUCUGUUCAUAGGCGGUUCUCUCUCAAGAUUUCAAGUCCGAUGCUCUUCUUAUUUCUAUCAUGAAUUUACACUAGUUUCCGAACGAACUGCUUUGAUCUUCAAAUGUUAAUGUAUUUUGUUGAACUAAACGAAUUAAAAGAAAACAGCUGAACCGACUACCGAAAAUAGGAUUUAUAAGCUUGUAAGGACGACCUAUCCACAAAGUAUUAAUACCUUUGCCACAUACGAGCAGGAUGCGUUAUCCAGUAUAUGAAAAUCUCACGCUUUUAUACCAGCAAUAAGGCAAAGGAAAGCAACAAUUGAAUUGAAUUGUCUAUUUAAAAUGUUAAAAAUAUAUGUUGGGUUCAAAAGCUGGCUGCCAGCAUGGCUAAUGCCAGAAACUUGGUUCGAAUCGUUGAGCGAAUCACCGAACUUCUUUUUGAA